rnacentral:rRNA from 1 species
AGAAGGCUGNUYUAAGAACGAGAUUUUAUAUAUCGAAUUUGCGAAUGGCUACAUAGUUUAGUGAUGAAUCUAAGUGGAUAUGAAUUCCUCAGGAUAAUAGACGGAAAUCUUCUAACAAACCAUAGUAAAAGGCAGUUAAAUGCCGAGUUUACGAGAUGAAAAGAUCAAUUAUGAUUGAAUUAUCGUAAAAAGUUGAAUCACCCUUCAGUGGYGUGAUUUCUCACAUGAAUUUCUAAUCGAUUAGGUAUCGUUGUUUGGAUAGAGGCCAAACAAGCCUGUUAUCGGUACGGGGGAUGAAUGUUCGAUUCCGUAGAAUACGCCUUAAAAACGGCGAAUACUCUCAUGAGAGGCAGCAGGCACGUAAAUUACCCAAUUCUGAUACAGAGAGGUAGCGAAGGGAAAUAGAUGGGAAGGAAGGCUUUGUUCUUCUUUAUUCGUCAAUGGAAACAAUUUAAAUCAAUUAUUGAAAGCAAGAAGAGGAAAAGUUUCGGUGCCAGCACCCGCGGUAAUUCCAGCUCUUCUAGUGUACAUCGAAGUUGAUGCAGUUAAAAAGCUCGUAGUCGGACUUGUUGAGUUUGGGGUAGAACUUGUUGGUGCUCGAAAGGGUAUCYAGCAGACCCAGCUCAUUCAUUUCUAAAUGGAUGUUUGCAGCAAUGUAGACCUCUCCUUUAGAUCUUUUACUUUGAGGAAAUUAGAGUGUUCAUAACAGUCAUUUUUGAUUGAAUAUUUUAGCAUGGGAUAAUAAAAUAUGGCAUUUUGCUUGUAUUUUAUGGUUUUUUAGAAGCAUUUAUUUGCAAUGAUUAAUGGGAGUGUAUGGGGCUGCCUGUAUUGAGAAGCUAGAGGUGAAAUUCUAUGAUUUUCUCAGGACAAACAAAUGCGAAAGCAUCCAGCCAGAACAUAUCCGUCGAUCAAGAACGAAGGGAGUGGUAUUGAAGAUGAUCAGAUACCGUCGUAAUCACUCCAGUAAACGAUGAUAAUUCGGGGUUAURRAGAUGUAAAUUAAAAACUUGCACUYYGUAGAACCGUACGAGAAAUCAAAAUAUUCAUAUUUCCGGGGGGAGUAUGGCCGCAAGACUGAAACUUAAAGGAAUUGACGGAAGGGCACCACAAGGCGUGGAACCUGCGGUUUAAUUUGACUCAACACGGGAAAACUUACCAGGUCCAGACAUAGUAAGGAUUGACAGAUUAAAAGAUUUUUCUUGAUUCUGUGGGUGGUGGUGCAUGGCCGUUCUUAGUUGGUGGAUUGAUUUGUCUGUUUAAUUACGAUAACGAACGAGAUGAUCAAGAGAAAAUAGGAUGAUGUCUUGAAAGAGAUGUUUAUGCCUUCUUUCUCUGAUUAAUGGAAAAAAGCCAUUUGAAAUGAUCGCAAUAACAGGUCUGUGAUGCCCUUAGAUGUCCUGGGCUACACGCGCGUUACAAUGAUAAUGUCAAUGAGUUUUUGAURUUGRUGUAAAAGYCARUGUCUUCAUGCUUUCUAGAAAUGGAUGGCUAAUCUUCAUAAACGUUAUCUUGCUGGGGAUUGAUGAUUGUAAUUAUUUGUCAUGAACCAGGAAUGCCUAGUAAUCGCAUGUCAUCAACAUGCGAUGAUUACGUCCCUGCCCUUUGUACACACCGCCCGUCGCUCCUACCGAUUGGAUUAUCCGGUGAGAAUGAAGGAUCGAGAAGUUUGAGUAGCAAUAUUCAGGCUAUUUUGAGAAUUCAUUCAAAUCUUAUAAUCUAGAGGAAGGAGAAGUCGUAACAAGGUCUCCGUAG